rnacentral:pre_miRNA from 1 species
AUCAAAGUCGGUUUGUCAUAGAUCACCACGUAACUAUCACAGCCAGCUUUGAUGAG